UACGGAGGGUGCGAGCGUUGUCCGGAAUCACUGGGCGUAAAGGGCGCGUAGGUGGCGCGGGCAGUCAACGGUGAAAGUUCGGGGCUCAACCCUGAAUCGGCCGUCGAUACUCCCGGGCUUGAGCACUGUAGAGGCUAAUGGAAUUCCGGGUGUAGCGGUGGAAUGCGUAGAGAUCCGGAAGAACACCGGUGGCGAAGGCGGUUAGCUGGGCAGUUGCUGACACUGAGGCGCGGACAGCGUGGGGGAGCAAACAGG
rnacentral:rRNA from 1 species